GAUGAACGCUGACAGAAUGCUUAACACAUGCAAGUCUUUGGCGAAGCUGUGCUUGCACAGCCUAGCCAAGGCAGACGGGUGAGUAACGCGUAAGGAACUUGCCCUGCAGUCAGGGAUAACAGACGGAAACGACUGAUAAGACCUGGUAAAGUCAGGCGGACUCAUGUCCAGCCUGAUGAAAAGAGAUGCUGCAGGAGAGCCUUGCGUCCUAUUAGCUUGUUGGUGGGGUAACGGCCCACCAAGGCGAUGAUAGGUAGCCGGCCUGAGAGGGUGGACGGCCACAAGGGGACUGAGAUACGGCCCUUACUCCUACGGGAGGCAGCAGUGGGGAAUAUUGGACAAUGGGGGCAACCCUGAUCCAGCAAUUCUGUGUGCACGAUGAAGGUUUUCGGAUUGUAAAGUGCUUUCAGCAGGGAAGAAAAAAAUGACGGUACCUGCAGAAGAAGCGACGGCUAAAUACGU
rnacentral:rRNA from 1 species